rnacentral:rRNA from 1 species
AAACGACUGCUAAUACCGCAUACCAUCUGACCUCGGCGUCGAAGAUACAUGAAAGGUGGCCUCUAAAUGUAACCUAUCACUGAAGGAGGGGAUUGCGUCUGAUUAUCUACUUGGAGGGGAAACGGCCCACCAAGGAGAUGAUCACUAGCCGGUCUGAAAGGAAGAACGGCCACAUAGUCACUGAGACACGGCCCAGACUCCUACGGGAGGCAGGAGUGGGGAAUCUUCCGCAAUGGACGAAAGGCUGACGGAACAACGCCGCGUGAGUGAUGACGGUCUUCGGGUUGUAAAGCUCUGUUAAUCGGGACGAAGGGCCUUUUUGCGAAUAGUGAAAAAGAUUGACGGUACCGGAAUACAAAGCCACGGCUAACUACGUGCCAGCAGCCGCGGUAAUACAUAUGUGGCAAGCGUUGUCCGGAAUUAUUGGGCGUAAAGCGCGCGCAGGCGGAUCAGUCAUUCUGUCUUAAAAGGUCUGCGCUUAUCCCCGUGAUGAGAUGGAAACUGCUGAUCUAAAGUAUCGGAGAGGAAAGUGGAAUUCCUAAUGUAGCGAUGAAAUGCGUAGAUAUUAGGAAGAACACCAGUGGAGAAUGCGACUUUCUGGACGAAAACUGACGCUGAGGCGCGAAAGCCAGGGCAGCGAACGGGAUUAGAAACCCCGGCAGUCCUGCCCGUAGACGAUGGGUAUUAGGUGUAGGAGGUAUCGACUCGUUCUGUGCUGGAGUUAACGCAAUAAGUACUCCGCCUGGGGAGUAGGACGGCAAGAUUGAAAAUCAAAGGAAUAGACGGGGGCCCGCACAACCGGUGGAGUAUCGUGGUUUAAUUUGACGCAACGCGAAGAGCCCUUUCAGGUCUUGACACAGAUGGACAGAACUAGAGAUAGUUCCUCUUGUUUUGAAGCCAUAAAACACGUGGUGCACGGUUGUCUUCAGAUCGUGUCGUGAGAUAUUGGGGUAAAUCUCGCAACGAGCGCAACCCCUAUAUUAUGUUUCCAGCACGUAAUGGUGGGAAAUCAUGAGAGACUGCCGCAGACAAUGCGGAGGAAGGCGGGGAAGACGUCAAAUUAUUCUGCCCCUUAUGGCGUGGGCUACCCCCGUAUGUACAAUGGGAGUUAAUAGACGGAAGCGAGAUCGCGAGAUGGAGCAAACCCUAGAAACACUCUUUCAGUUCGGAUCGUAGGUUGCAACUUGCCUACGAGAAGUUGGAAUCGCUAGUAAUUGCAGGUCAGCAUACUGCGGUGAAUACGUUCCCGGGCCUUGUACACCCCCCCCGUCCCCCCCUGAAAGUCGGAAGUCACCACAAAGGCCGGUGGGGUAACCUUCGGGAGCCAGCCGUCCAAGGUAAAGUUGAUGAUUG